rnacentral:rRNA from 1 species
CUUUACUAUAGCUUCACAUUGACAUCGGCUGCCCGAUGUGUAGGAUAGGUGGGAGACUUUGAAGCGGUGUCGCUAGGCAUCGUGGAGUCAACGUUGAAAUACCACCCUUCUGUCAUCUGAUGUCUAAUCCCUGCGAAACAGGGAAACAGUGUGUGGUGGGUAGUUUGACUGGGGUGGUCGCCUCCAAAAGUGUAUCGGAGGCUUUCAAAGGUACCCUCAGCACGCUUGGUAACCGUGCGUUGAGUGCAUUAGCAUAAGGGUGCUUGACUGCGAGACCAACAAGUCGACCAGGUAGGAAACUAGGACAAAGUGAUCCGGUGGUUCCAUAUGGAAGGGCCAUCGCUCAUAGGAUAAAAGGUA